rnacentral:rRNA from 1 species
AGAGUUUGAUCAUGGCUCAGAUUGAACGCUGGCGGCAUGCCUUACACAUGCAAGUCGAACGCGAAAGGGGGCAACCCUGAGUAGAGUGGCGAACGGGUGAGUAAUGCAUCGGAACGUGUCCUGUAGCGGGGGACAACCCCGAGAAAUCGGGGCUAAUACCGCAUACGUCCUACGGGAGAAAGUGGGGACCGCAAGGCCUCACACUAUAGGGGCGGCCGAUGCCGGAUUAGCUAGUUGGUGGAGUAACGGCUCACCAAGGCGACGAUCCGUAGCUGGUCUGAGAGGAUGAUCAGCCACACUGGGACUGAGACACGGCCCAGACUCCUACGGGAGGCAGCAGUGGGGAAUUUUGGACAAUGGGCGCAAGCCUGAUCCAGCCAUGCCGCGUGAGUGAAGAAGGCCUUCGGGUUGUAAAGCUCUUUCGGCCGGGACGAAAUCGCAUCCGCUAAUACCGGGUGUGGAUGACGGUACCGGAAUAAGAAGCACCGGCUAACUACGUGCCAGCAGCCGCGGUAAUACGUAGGGUGCGAGCGUCAAUCGGAAUUACUGGGCGUAAAGCGUGCGCAGGCGGUUCCGCAAGUCAGAUGUGAAAUCCCCGGGCUUAACCUGGGAACUGCGUUUGAAACUACGGAGCUAGAGUACGGCAGAGGGAGGUGGAAUUCCAAGUGUAGCAGUGAAAUGCGUAGAUAUUUGGAGGAACACCGAUGGCGAAGGC